GCUGGGAGUCGUGGCGUACUCCUGUCAUCCGGCGACUCGGAGGCUGAUGUGUGAGGAUGGCUGCGACCGGGAGCCAACCGGCACCUCUGCGCUCAUGGCGAUCGGGCGUCCGCACCGGGCUUGCCAUCAACAUGCGCCCUCUGGAGGAGUCCGGGCGGGUGCAGGUUGGCUAAGGAGGGGCGCACCGGGUCAGGGAGGCAACUCAGCAGCCAAAAGCUCCCGUGGCGAGCGGUGGUGGGAUCGCGCCCGAGAGUGAGGGCACGGUACCGGCCCGGGUCGUCCAGCCAGACCGCCCAUCAA
rnacentral:SRP_RNA from 1 species